rnacentral:rRNA from 1 species
AUACGUAGGGUGCAAGCGUUAAUCGGAAUUACUGGGCGUAAAGCGUGCGCAGGCGGUUUUGUAAGACAGAGGGGAAAUCCCCGGGCUCAACCUGGGAACUGCCUUUGUGGCUGCAAGGCUAGAGUAAGGCAGAGGGGGAUGGAAUUCCGCGUGUAGCAGUGAAAUGCGUAGAUAUGCGGAGGAACACCGAUGGAGAAGGCAAUCCCCUGGGCCUGUACUGACGCUCAUGCACGAAAGCGUGGGGAGCAAACAGGAUUAGAUACCCUGGUAGUCCACGCCCUAAACGAUGUCAACUGGUUGUUGGGGAUUUAUUUUCUCAGUAACGAAGCUAACGCGUGAAGUUGACCGCCUGGGAAGUACGGCCGCAAGGUUAAAACUCAAAUGAAUUGACGGGG